rnacentral:rRNA from 1 species
CACCGCCCGUCACAUCAUGGGAGUUGGUUUUACCCGAAGACGCUGACUUAACCGCAAGGAGAGAGGAGUCUAAGGUGAGGCUGAUGACUGGGAUG